rnacentral:rRNA from 1 species
UCGCCUGUUUAUCAAAAACAUGGUCUUUUGUUUAAAUAAAAGAUCUGGCCUGCCCAAUGAUUAUUUUAAUGGCUGCAGUAUUUUGACUGUACAAAGGUAGCAUAAUCACUUGUCUCUUAAUUGGAGUCUGGAAUGAAUGGUUGGAUGAAGAGUUAACUUUCUUUAUUUUAUAUAUAAAAUUUAAUUUUUGAAUCAAAAAGUUCAAAUGUAAAUAAAGGACGAGAAGACCCUAUAGAACUUUACUUUUUUAAAAUUAGGAUUUUGGUUGAAAAUAAUUUUUUCUUAUUUUUAAUAGAGUUUUGUUGGGGUGACAAAAAAAAAUUAAUAACUUUUUUUAUUUAUUUCAUUUAUAUAUGAUUUUUUGAUCCUUUAUUAUGGAUAAUAAGAUUAAGUUACCUUAGGGAUAACAGCGUUAUUGUUUUAGAGAGUUCAUAUUGAUAAAACAGUUUGCGACCUCGAUGUUGGAUUAAAAUUAGUCUCAGGGGCAGAAAAUUGAUUAACUAGGUCUGUUCGACCUUUAAAUUUUUACAUGAUCUGAGUUCAAACCGGAGA